AAGAACGAGUAUUUCAGUUACGUUGAAUAAGACCUAAUAGGCGUUCUUU
rnacentral:tRNA from 1 species